GACUAGUUUCUGAAUAGUGAUUUUUAUAAUUCAUGAAAUAGUGCCAAUAAAAAAGGCAACAAACACUAUUUUCAUGAUUCCCUUAUGAUAAAAUUAAUUGUUUAAAAAACACUGACAUACGAAAUAGCUUUAUAUUUUGAUUAUUCUUGGCUCUUCCCCUGCCUUACACAGCAUCAUUUUGAUUUUAAACAUUGAAUUCUGCAAUGCUUUUGGAAAAAAAAAUAUACAUAUAGCUUCUAAAUGUAAGUCCCAUAAGGAUGGCUUUUAAAUCCUUACCAAAAAGGCUUUCCUUAAUCUUUAGGAUCCUGUUUUCACCUCUCACCACUUGGCUACCCUUGAGGACUCCAGGUGACCUUGCUCUCCACCCUCAGUCUGACCUCAAUUCUCUACCUUAAGGUAUUGCACUUUUUGAUCAUGUGAAAUAAUUUAUUCUUCUGAUAAUUAGCUUAGACUACUUUCUCCUAUUAUUUACUAUUUUCUCCCCAAAAUUAUUAGGCACUGAUUACAUGCAAAGAAUUACUUGGAGCUUUGAUGAUUGAUUGGUUGAUGUGGUGAGUCCCAUAGCUAUUAAGUGAUAGAGCUAUAAUAUGGGAAGUCUGUUUGCUUUUUCACGGGAUACAUCCAAUUUAAUUAUUUUGCCAAAGUCUCAGACUCAUCAUUUCUGCACCAUACUUGACUGAACUUGAACCAGCUCCCUUUUGCAAAUUGUGAACCUGUGCUCAUGCCACAAUCAUCAAAACUCAGGCCUUUUCUUUUCUUCUGGUACUUCAUUUGAAAAACAUAUCACCUCAUGCCAUUUUAAAUAUCUCAAACUGAUCACAGAGCUCUUCACCACUGCUGUUCAAUUAUUCCUGUUUAGUCACACUAUGUGUGGAUUAUGGCAAAAGCCCCAUCACCAAUGCUCCCAAGGUGUCCAAUGGCCUGCAUCCCAUCCCGGCUGAGUCUCCUUCUCAUCAGACUCCAUCCAACCUCUCCCUUCUUUCCUGCCUCCCACAUCCUCAUCAUCCAAUUCCUUCUAAAGCUCUCUUCAAACUAAAAUUCAAGGUGCCUACCCUAAAUAAGGAAUACUACGAUCUGUCCCAUCUUACACCAUAUGCUCCCACACUUCUUACAAUCUAAUCCCUAUACCACUCAGGAGUUGUCCAUAAACAUCCCCUUAUGUGAUCUCUGUUAAAGCUGUUGUUGUCUUUACCUAAAUUACAUUCUUGCCAAUCUUUGAAGGUCCAAUCUAAAUCCCAAGGGCCAUGGGCCAUAUUGAUCUUUCCUUUUUGACCCGCUACAGUGUUUGCUUCCUCCCAAUACAACAAAAAUCCUAAAUAAUCUUCUCAUUUGGGAUAUAUACUAAAUGUAUACCCUAUUUCUAUUACAUGGCUCUGAUUACAAAAUAUAUGCAACAAAUACCUGUUUGACAUUUCUAGUUCAUGUGAUACCAAACCUAGAGACACUUCUUAGAAAGUAAAGUUCCAAAACAAAUAUUUUGUAUACAAGAUAAUAGAACUCAGCUGACUACAUCACCCUGAGAUACGAUGUAUAUGUAAUUACAUAUAUGUGAACUAUGAUAUAUAAACUGCAGAUAAUUUUAUUUUUGCAAAAUAGGGAAGCCUUUGUAACAUAGCAUGAACUAAAUAAAUCUUUGCUGAAGAGAAGCUACACAUGGCAAAACUCAAUCAUCCUAUUCCUUGACAAGAACUUAAAAACUGUCAUUACUGCUAUACUACUAAAGCAUUUAGCUAUAGAUGAGACAUUUUAAAAGAAGACCAUUACAUUUUAUAAGAGUUUCAACUUUAUUAUUUCACUCUAUUAACCAUGACUGGAAAUUUAGAAAUAUGGGAUUAAAAUUUUUAAAGGGAGGGAUAUUGGUUUGCGGGAUUUUGAGUAAAUUGAUAGGAAAAUUUACUAUACCAGUUUCUGGUGUUUUAUAAUAAUUGAGAGUAUAGUGAUUACUUACUUCUUAAGUUAGAAUAUUAACUGUUUUUCACUGGAAUCUGAGCAUGGGAUCAAGCUUAUUUAACAUUUCUAACUGAAAGCAUACCAAAAUUAUCAACAUACUUACUAUAUGAAGAUAGAUUAAUACAAAAAAAUCAGAUUCACUGGAAAAGGUAAAAACUUUAGAGUAUUAAAAUAUACUGUACUUAUUGUACAUUAUAUAUCAUAUAUAACAUGCAUAUAAAAUACAGCAAAUACAUUAAAUAUCUUAAAAGAUGUGUGCUCAAUUCUUAUCUAUGAACCAAUUCCACAUCAAGGGUAUGCUAAAUAUGACUGUCUCUUACUGCAAUAUGGUUUAUUACCUAAAGUGUGCUUACUGGAAUUUCAAAGAAUUCUAUCAUAACUACCUACAACAACUAUCAAGAUUUAUAUUUCUUUUUUACAAUUUAUAAUAAUGAAGCUGGAAUCUGACUUUAAUCAAUGUUAUUCUCAUUUUGCAUUUAAAUUUUAGCUGACAUUCUACAGUUCAGAAUUCUCAAAUCUUCUUUUCCCUUUUUAAGCAAAUCCCCAUAGCAAAAGAAAGCAAGAAUUAAUAGUAGUUAAUCCUUCCUAGUGUUUGUGAGUACAUGGGGGAUCAGUGUAAAAGACGGUUACUGCUGCGUUAACUCUCAUUACUCCAGCUGUUAACCAGAUGUUCAAAACAAGUAAAUUGCUCUGGAAUGUUUUUCUAAAUUCUCUUUCUUAAUCUGCUAAAUUAUGCAAAUGCUAGAAUAUUUUUAAGUAUGUAUCUAAAGUCCUGCUACAAAAUUAGCAUGAUGUAAGAAUUCUGGAUUAAUUCUAAUACAAUACCUUUUGAAAUAAUGAAGUAUAAACAUAAUUAGUACUGGGGCUGAUAGAAUAUGAUAUAUUUAUGUUGUAAUAAAAAUUUAAUAUCUAGAAAAUGCAAUAAGAAACAGGAUAAAAAGUUGUUGGGGAAUAUGUUUUCCUAACAUAUAAAUGUGAAAGAAAUUCAAGAAAAUAUAAAACACAUGAAGAGAAAAUGGAAAUAAAUCUUAAAUAUUCUGGUGGAUCUAAACUUUUCAGAUAAUUAUUUUUCAACUAUCUUUUCCUCUCUUUGUUUUAUGAUGGACGUUCACCUAUAUAAAAUCUCUGAAUUACCCUUCUUACAAUAAAUGGAAUAGCUAUUGUUUUUAAUGAAGAAAAAUAAUUUUAUUUCGAUUACUUCCUCUCAAGAAAUUCUUACAUCCCCAAAACUCUGAAUCUCUAUCAUUCAAAAGAAAAGUUGGCAUCAGUUUGAUUUUCAGUAUUUGAAUGUUAUCACAAUUAAGAUUUUUCCACAAAGAAUGAUUUUAGUCAGAAUGGAUCAGGAUUUAUUCAUUCUCCCAAUAGCAUAAUAUUUAUUUUCAAUGCC
ensembl:lncRNA